UUGAAAUUCAGAUAAAUCAAACGAAAAUAUAUUUUUAUCUAUCUUUGAAAUAUAAGUUAUAAAUGUUUCUGUAAUGUUAUAUUAUACAAUUAGCUUUUAUCAAAUAUUUGAUACAAAUGUUACAUUAUUCUUGGAACAUUCGAAUAAUUUCAUUAAAUUGAACAGAUAAAACUUUUUCAACUUCGUUCAAGUUUCAAAUAUUAAUAGAAGCUUAUUUCAAAUAAAAUGUCGUAAAGUUUAUUUUAUUAAGUUAUAAUUAAAAUUUGCAUUAAGCAAAACGAGAUAAGCUGAGAUCGUCUGUCUUCGUUAUUCUGUAUUCUUCAUUUAACUAAGGCGAAAUUAAAUUGCUUGUAAGUUAAUAAAUGAGUCUUAAGCGACAUUUUUGUAUAUUAAUUUUUAAAUUUUAGAAUCGAAAUAUUCCACGAAUAUAAUAAUAAUAAUAUCCUACACUCAACAAAUUUUCAAAUUCAAUUAUUUCAAAAACUAAUUUUUAAAUGAUAAAAAUUUCUAUAAUUCUAUAACUUUCGUUUAUUUUUAGAACUAUUUUUUAUCGAUGAUUUAUUUAUAUCAAAUACUCUCAAUAUUAAAAAUCAAGCAGCAAUAUAAUAUUAAAGAUAGAGAGGUCUAGAAAGAAAGUUUUUAGCGUAUAUAUUAAUUAGAAUCAUAUAUUAAAUCUAAUUACGAAUGCUUGAAUCGUAUUGGUCUCUUUCACGUGUUACGAGGGCAAUUGGCCUGCAGAAAGCGUUCACACUCGAAAAAUUUCGCACAAACUCGUCCCAGUGAAGCGGCGAAGCACAGUUUUGAGGCUGAAAUUGCUAAAAGCUCGGAUUUCAAAGGCGAGUUUCAUGGACAAAUUAACUGGCUGUGUAAUUCAGUACGCCAUCUAUGAAAGCCAUAAGCGGCGAAGAAGAAGCCUAAUUCACCGAUUUGUCGCCCCAUAUAACGUCGUUCUAUGAACGAGGCGAUCGCAGAAAUAGAAUCCCAAACAUAUAAAGCCCACCACAAGAGUAUUUUUCGAGCAAUCGUAAAUCCGACUAUCGCAAAUGGCCAGGGGAUAAAAGACGUCCCCGGAAAUCGUUCGCGGCUAGAAUUUAACGCCACGCCGCCUUCCAUGUACACACAACGUGAAAAAUCGAAGGAAACAGAAUUCGUGGGGAGAAUGCCGCAAGAGUUGGAAGUAACCAAGACGGAAGUACACGGGGGAGAGGCAGGAAGGACGUGAUUUCUGCGGUGAGACCGGGUUCCGUUAUUUGAACUGGGCGACAGAGAAGCCGAUGAAGGAUCCACAACCGGGGAACUCCUCCACUUUCUGUUUAUUUAUCGGUUUAAUAAAGCCUUACCGUACAUCUUAAA